GUGGGGAAUCUUGCGCAAUGGGCGAAAGCCUGACGCAGCCAUGCCGCGUGAAUGAUGAAGGUCUUAGGAUUGUAAAAUUCUUUCACCGGGGACGAUAAUGACGGUACCCGGAGAAGAAGCCCCGGCUAACUUCGUGCCAGCAGCCGCGGUAAUACGAAUGGGGCUAGCGUUGCUCGGAAUUACUGGGCGUAAAGGGCGCGUAGGCGGACAGUUUAGUCAGAGGUGAAAGCCCAGGGCUCAACCUUGGAAUUGCCUUUGAUACUGGCUGUCUUGAGUACGGGAGAGGUGAGUGGAACUCCGAGUGUAGAGGUGAAAUUCGUAGAUAUUCGGAAGAACACCAGUGGCGAAGGCGACUCACUGGCCCGUUACUGGCGCUGAGGCGCGAAAGCGUGGGGAGCAAACAGGAUUAGAAACCCUUGUAGUCC
rnacentral:rRNA from 1 species